AUUGAACGCUGGCGGCAGGCCUAACACAUGCAAGUCGAACGAGUGGCGGACGGGUGAGUACUGUCUGGGACACUGCCUGUUGGAGGGGGAUAACUUCUGGAAACGGUAGCUAAUCCCGCAUACCAUCAGAUGUGCCCAGAGGGGAUUGGCUAGUUGGUGGGGUAACGGCUCACCAAGGAGACGAUCCCUAGCUGGUCUGAGAGGAUGACCAGCCACACUGGAACUGAGACACGGUCCAGACGCCUACGGGAGGCAGCAGUGGGGAAUAUUGCACAAUGGGCGCAAGCCGGAUGCAGCCAUGCCGCGUGUAUGAAGAAGGCCUUCGGGUUGUAAAGUACUUUCAGCGGGGAGGCGUUACCCGCAGAAGAAGCACCGGCUAACUCCGUGCCAGCAGCCGCGGUAAUUC
rnacentral:rRNA from 1 species